rnacentral:rRNA from 1 species
GUUGAACGCUGGCGGCGUGCCUAAUACAUGCAAGUCGAGCGAACAGAUGAGGAGCUUGCUCCUCUGACGUUAGCGGCGGACGGGUGAGUAACACGUGGAUAACCUACCUAUAAGACUGGGAUAACUUCGGGAAACCGGAGCUAAUACCGGAUAAUAUAUUGAACCGCAUGGUUCAAUAGUGAGAGACGGUUUUGCUGUCACUUAUAGAUGGAUCCGCGCCGCAUUAGCUAGUUGGUAAGGUAACGGCUUACCAAGGCAACGAUGCGUAGCCGACCUGAGAGAGUGUGCGGCCACACUGUAACUGAGACACGGUCUAGACUCCUACGGGAGACAGAAGUAGAGAAGAUUCCGCAAUGGGCGAAAGCCUGACGGAGCAACACCGCGUGAGUGAUGAAGGUCUUCGGAUCGUAAAACUCUGUUUUUAGGGAAGAAAAAAUGUGUAAAUAAAACUGCACGUCUUGACGGUACCUAAACAGAAAGCCACGGCUAACUACGUG